UACGUAGGGGCAAGCGUUGUCCGGAAUCAUUGGGUGUAAAGAGCGUGUAGGCGGCUUGGCAAGUCUGGUGUGAAUCUUGCGGCUCAACCGCAAGCGGUCACUGGAAACUGCCUCGCGUAGAGUCCGGAAGAGGAGAGCGGAAUUCCUGGUGUAGCGGUGGAAUGCGCAGAUAUCGGGAGGAACACCUAUGGCGAAGGCAGCUCGCUGGGACGUUACUGACGCUGAGACGCGAAAGCGUGGGGGGAGCAAACAGG
rnacentral:rRNA from 1 species